GUGAAUUUAUUCAACGGCCGCGGUAUCCUAACCGUGCGAAGGUAGCGUAAUCACUUGCCCUUUAAAUAAGGUCUAGUAUGAACGGCUCCACGAAGGUUAAACUGUCUCCUUUUUCUAAUCAGUGAAACUAAUCUCCCCGUGAAGAAGCGGGGAUAGACCCAUUAGACGAGAAGACCCUAUGGAGCUUUAAAUAUUAACAACAUUUGCUAUUUAACUCAUUAUAAACAACAUUCCUGUUUGUUAAUUUUUGGUUGGGGCGACCACGGAGUAAAACUCAACCUCCCUGUUGAAAAUAGCUAAAAACCACAAUUUUAAGCACCAAUAAACUGACAUCCAUUGACCCAAUAUUUUGAUCAACGAACCAAGUUACCCUAGGGAUAACAGCGCUAUCCACUUCAAGAGCUCCUAUCGAC
rnacentral:rRNA from 1 species